UGCAGUCGAGCGGGGGAAGGAGCUUGCUACUGGACCUAACGGCGGACGGGUGAGUAAUGCUUAGGAAUCUGCCUAUUAGUGGGGGACAACUUCUCGAAGGGGAUGCUAAUACCGCCUACGUCCUACGGGAGAAACCAGGGGAUCUUCGGACCUUGCGCUUGUAGAUGAACCUAAGUCGGAUUAACUAGUUGGUGGGGUAAAGGCCUACCCAGGCGACGAUCUGUCCCGGGUCUGAGAGGAUGAUCCGCCACACUGGGACUGAGACACGGCCCAGACUCCUACGGGAGGCAGCAGUGGGGAAUAUUGGACAAUGGGGGGAACCCUGAUCCAGCCAUGCCGCGUGUGUGAAGAAGGCCUUAUGGUUGUAAAGCACUUUAAGCGAGGAGGAGGCUACUCUAGUUAAUACCUAGGGAUAGUGGACGUUACUCGCGAAUAAGCACCGGCUAACUCUGUGCCAGCAGCCGCGGUAAUACAGAGGGUGCGAGCGUUAAUCGGAUUUACUGUGCGUAAAGCGUGCGUACGCGGCUUAUUAAGUCGGAUGUGAGAUCCCCGAGCUUAACUUGUGAAUUGCAUUCUAUACUGUUGAGCUAUAGAAUGGGAGAGAGUGGUAUAAAUCCACGUGUAUCGCUGAAAUGCGUAUAGAUCUGUAGGAGUACCGAUGGCGAAAGCGCCCAUCUGGGCUAAUACUGACGCUGACGUACGAAAGCAUGGGGAGCAAACACGGAUUAGAUACCCUGGUAGUCCCAUGCCGGUAAAACGAAUGUCUACAUAUCGAUUGUGACCUUGAGCCUUAGCUGUCCAGACUUACGCGAUAAGUACGACCCGCCUGGGGGAGUUACG
rnacentral:rRNA from 1 species